GUCUCAGUUCGGAUUGGAGUCUGCAACUCGACUCCACGAAGUUGGAUUCGCUAGUAAUCGCGCAUCAGCCAUGGCGCGGUGAAUACGUUCCCGGGCCUUGUACACACCGCCCGUCAAGCCAUGGGAGCCGGGGGCGCCUGAAGUCCGGGACCGCGAGGACCGGCCUAGGGCGAAACUGGUGACUGGGGCUAAGUCGUAACAAGGUAGC
rnacentral:rRNA from 1 species